AUACUUACCUGGCAGUGGAGAUACCGUGAUCAUGAAGGUGAUUAUCCCAGGGCGUGGCUUAUGCAUUGUGUUCCAGAUGUGCUGACCCCUGCGAUUUCCACAAAUGUGGCAAACUUAACUGCAUCAUUUGUGGUAGUUGUAGAUUGUGUUCCUAUUCUUGAU